GUCCACGCCGUAAACGAUGGAUACUAGCUGUUGGGCGCAAGUUCAGUGGCUAAGCGAAAGUGAUAAGUAUCCCACCUGGGGAGUACGUUCGCAAGAAUGAAACUCAAAGGAAUUGACGGGGCCCGCACAAGCGGUGGAGCAUGUGGUUUAAUUCGAUGAUACGCGAGGAACCUUACCAAGGCUUAAAUGUAGAUUGACCGGUUUGGAAACAGAUCUUUCGCAAGACAAUUUACAAGGUGCUGCAUGGUUGUCGU
rnacentral:rRNA from 1 species